rnacentral:misc_RNA from 1 species
GUGAUGAUAACGUCAAAACAAUUCAAUUGUUUAGCUCAAGAUUCACAUAUUGAGCUCAUAAAGAAAAAUGAAAAUUAUAAGUUUUCCUGCCAUUAUUUCAUUCUCACAUCACAUCCAACAUGCAGAAAACAAUGAGCAAUGCUUUCCUCCAAAAUUAUUGUGCUGUUUCAGAAAAAAAGAGAACCUCCUCCAAAAUUUGAGAUAUUUUGCCACUGUGGAUUACAUAUCAAUGGCCAAUUGUUGUAUGGUGGCAUCUAAGUUGCCCUCCCAAUGCCAUUGAUCUUCUUUUACUGAUAUAUAAACUCUCUCUAGCUUUGGUGUAUUGAGGACUCCCUUGCAGAAAGUUUGCAUUUGAGGGCAUUGGCUUACAAUUACUUCUUCCAAGGUAGGGAAACUGAAGGACUGACUUCCUGCACAAAAGCUUGUAAGGAUUGGCAAAUAUUGAAGUUUCAAAGACUUGAGUCGAAUGAAAUCAAUGUCAGCAUCUGCCUCGUCUAUCUUGUCUUCUACAAUUCCAGUCAUCAUUUUGCAUUCACUUAUACACAUUAUUGUAAGAUGCACCAUACUUUUAGCAGUUGAGGGAAUUAUCAAAUUUUCCAAUCCAUCACAAUUUGAUAUUUCUAGCGAAGUCAAAUGUCUGAAUGAAACUGAGGCUGGUACUAAAGAUUUCAUGAUGCCACAAUAUGAUAUUUCUAAAGUUUCCAGAUUUUGAAAAACUAUGGUUGGGCAGGAGUUUUCUUUCCACAGAUAUUUCAGCUCAGACAACUUAGACAGCUUCAGUUUUCUUAACCGUGAGAAAAAGAACUCUGCUAGAAACUCACAAUGCCUUGUCUCCAUCAUGACACAGUUAUCCUCCAAUCUCAAUUCCUCCAAGUUCUGGAAUGUAUCCUUUUCAACCAAGAAUAGAGGGUGUGGAUUUGGGAUUUCAAAUUGGCCUGCCCCUUGCCUUUCUUGGAAGAUAUGAUAAUCCAUAGCAACCAUUUCCACUUUAUGACAUCCAUUCACCUCCAUUUUUUUCAGUGAUGGCCAUUCUGAAAUAUGCAACCCUGGAUAGAAACUCCUGAGUUCUGAUAGAGCAUGAAGUUGCAAGUAGGUUACCUGAGGAAACACAAACCUUGCUGCAAUUUCUACUUCUUCUUUGGCAACAAGUUCAUCCACCAUGCAUGAGUCUAUUGCUAUUUCCAGUGUUUCUUCCUUGGCAACGAUUUCCUGCAUGAGUGUAGACUUGAAUAGAUAACAAUCCCCACAGGAUCCUUACUCCAAAUAUGUCUAAGUUUUGGGAGAUGAGAUAAGUAUAAGCUUCUUAACCGAGUGGCUGCCACCGCAUGUGUUUCUUCAACAUUCACAUCUUGCACUUCAAAUACAUUUUCUAGGGAGUCACAAUCAAUUGCUAUCAGUGACUCUAGACUUUUUGAUCUUCUAAAUGUAUUUGAUGGGAAAAGUGCAUGUAGUUUCCCACAGUGCUUAAAUUUCAAUGCCUUUAAUUUGCAAAAGGAAUUUCCAUUGACUUGAUUGUUCCAAAGCAUCUUCACACUAUGCAUGUGGGAGAUUUUCAUUACUUCCAAGGCUGGAAGUGAGACCUUUUCACUGAAGAAAGGCUGUAAAGUAGUGUGGAGACUCUCCUCCAUGUUCAUUCCAUCUAGUUUGAUGCCAACCGUUUUGUCAGCACCUGUAGGGCUGGAAAUGAAUUCCUUUAAUUUUGGGCAAUGUUUUAUGUACAGUUUGUUCAAUGACGGGAACACUACAGAACUUCCCCAGCAGAAUCUGGUGACAUGUGGAAGACCUUUUAGGCUCAGGAAUUCAAGUUGAGGGAAUGACAGUGUACCUACCCAUGCCUCCCCCGUUGUAAUAAAUAUGUCCUUGAUUGCAUUGCAUUUGUGAAUUUCAAGACGUUUGAGUUUAACAAGAUUUACUGAAGCAGAGGAUGAUAACAGAUAUGUCAAAUUAUGACAGCCCUUCACACGCAACAAUGUUAGAUUAUGGAAGCUAGAUCCAGCAGUACUUCUCAGAGUUUGAUCUUGCCAUAACCGUUGAGAGCCAAUUGCAAUGAGAUUCAAAAACUCCAAGUUGGAGAACUCAAUCUUGUCACUGAAAAGUGGUGUGGAAGUAUCUAGCUCAUUCUGCAAAAUUGUUUCUUCAGAACAAAGGUCUUCUGUUGGUGUUUUCUUCCUCCAUGGAGACACGGUUGCCUCUGUCACUUU